ACCCGGCUCUAAGAGCCGUUUCGUUCGCGACCAACACAUCACUAAUUUGUUGGGUUGCCUUUCACAUAAGUCCUUAAUCACGGAGGCAAAAAGUCCACUUUUCAUCUGGAUUUACUGAAUCACAGCAUCCAUAGCUUCUGAACCAGACCACCAAUCACAUAACCAAAGACCAUCAAAUAACACAUAAUCUGAGUGUGCUCUAUCACUGGAGGCACAGCAGAGCGCUUUUUACGCUGUUUUUUUGAUACAGGAAAGUAUCAGAUGUGCCAAUAGCAUGGAAAACGUGUGUAUGUGGAAUAGAUGUAGGGCAUAUAAAAUAUGAGUAAGGGAUGAAAGAAGGGAGAGAUGCAGACGGGCAGAUGAGUAUAAAUGGAGCUGUUUGGGAAGGUUCGAGGUUCUUUAUGUAGUUUGCUGCAGAUGAGUAACAUCGUAAGAAAGCACUGUGGAGUUCACAGUCAAAAGUUUCAGUUGCCCAAUCACUGUGGACUUAUGAAGUGAAAUUAUCAUUUUUUUUGUCUCUCAAAAGAGUUGGAAGACUUUGUACCAUGUUACUCCUUCCUCAUUUGGACUUUCAAAUCAGACUUAAUCUGCAGAGUUUAAAUCCACAUGUGUCCAACAGCUCUGUGUCAUAAACCUGCUGAUCAAAUGUAUCCUGAGCUCUGACUUCUCUUUUAGAGGACAGUCUGAUGUAUGCUGAGGUCAAAGGCCCCAAAAAAGGAGAAGCCAAGAAGAAAGCAGGAAAAUCAAGUCCUGCAGCUGAUGCAGCAGUUUAUUCUGAAGUCGCGUUAGGAAGCUUUCCUGGUCAGUGAGGAGAGCUGCAGCAGCAAAAAGAAGCAUUUAAUGAAUCCACUGUUGCUCCUCUGCUGCCCAAAUAUCAGACGCGCUCACUUUUUAGUGUUUAUGAAGAUGAUAUUGAAUAAUAAUAUGAUAUAUAGUUGGUACUGUGUUUUAGCAUAAAGCACACAGAGAUGUGUCCUGUUUCAGAGUCAUGCUCUUUAUAUUUAGCUGAUAUUUUUAUUCAUUGUUGAGCUUUUGUAUAAAACUUUGAAUGUAUCCUGUUCCACAGAGAAAAAAGUCUGUGAUUUUUAGUAACUGAUAGCAGCAACUUAAAGUCAGCAGAGUUACAUUAGGAAGUGCUGGUAUAAACACCCACAAAUACUUUUACUGUCUGAGUGUAAAGAUCUAUAUUGUGUAAAAAAAUAAUUAUUUGGUAUAAAAACAUGAAAAAGCUCUGGCUGCAUCAUGAUUCAUUUAAUGUCAGAUACUUUUAUUGUAGUUUUAGUGUAUCUCGUAUUUUAAUCUGAAGCUGUGAAUGUUAUUUUUUUUUUUUAUGUUGUUUGCUGUUCUCACUUUUUCUGAAUUUUACAUAGUUUUUUAAAAGUUAUUUAUUUUGAAUGUAAAGCACAGUGAUCAGCUCUGUUGUUUUGAACAUAGUAUAUAAAUACAUUUGACCUUGACUUCACUUUCUCUUGUAUUUUAAUCUGAGUAAAGAUUAAAGAUUGUUUGGGCUUGAUUAGA